CACAUACUGCAUAACGCCGCUGAAGACAUACGUUCGCUGUGAUUUCAAGGUAGGAUCGAUUAUAUCUUGUUUCCAUUCUUUACUUACAUUCUUUUAGUAUAUGCAUGCUUAAAACUAAUAUGAAACCGACACAAACAUUGCUAUAGUAAUGACUUUAUAAAUCGAACAACCCAAUUGAAAGAGUGCUUAUCGUUAACUGCAAUUCGUGUGUGCCGCUACAAAUAUUACACUUUGCAUGCAUGCGAACCAAUUUACGUACAUUAAUUUGAUUUUAGUCGAAUGAUGCUGUGAUUUGUUACAUGUUAGCCAUUGGCUAUUUUUUUAUCGCUAUUCAAGUUAAGAAUAAGUUCCGCAGAAUCCUUAGCGGAAAAAUAUAUGUGUAUCAAGACUGGGAGAUCAUUAAUGUAAAGUUAAAAUAAUAAUGGCCCUAAUAUGGAUCCCUGUGGAACUCCACAGACUAUCUUUUCGGGUGUUGACGUCGUGCCAUUGACAAAACACACUUGUUCCAUAUCAGAAAUGUAGGAUUCAAACCACUUUAAUUCAAUAUUUGAAACUCCAAAUUUAAUCUUUCAAGUCGCGCAACUAUGCGGAUAAGGCAACUUUCGAACUGUCGUUGCCAGUGUUGGUAGUGUACGGCAAUACUGUAAGUACAGCAAUACUGAAUAUAUACCCUCUAAAUUCUCGACGAAGGGCCUUAGCAAGAAACGUCAUUUGAAUACAUUUUUACAAAAGACCUAGUCCAGCUUUAAGUCGGUAUAAACAAUAUGAUAUCAGUUUUCAUAUCUUUAUUUUGUGUUUAUUAGCUAGCCUGUUGAGUUUCCUACACGAAUAGGGUUCAAAAUUGUUUUGAGCAGCAUUCUUGCAUCCAAUUAAGCAUGUCACACUCAUGAUCUUUGGCCGAACCUAGAAGGCCGAAUCCACGCAAAUAUGAAUCAUUUUUAGUAAUCCCAACAAAAGACGCGCAGUGUUUCAAUUCCAUUUCAGAACCAUCCUCAGAGAUACGAAAAACCUGUUUCGGUCUAGAUACCCCAAGACGCGAGUUCAAAUCCCGCUCGAGCCAACGAAUUUUUCGUUGGUCGAUUGCAGUGCCAGAAUAAUAUGAAACUGGUUGAAUUGAGGUUUCAUUAAUGAGAAAUGGUGCCCCAUGUGGAAAGUCCCUGCGACGGAGGUUGAUGGUGCCCACGUUGAAUUUCACAACUAAUUUGUGAGGAUUUUAAUUGAAUAAUAUUCUUCAUCUUGAUAUAAAACAUAGUUCCUAUCCCUACCAGUUUAUAAAUUUUCCUUUUGGACGCAGGCAGGCAUUCAUCCUUUUUUACAACUUGGGACAAUUGGUUUUGUAAUUGAAUAGUGGUUAACCCGGGAUUACGUAAUUGUGAUUGACGGAUUUUUACAACAACAGCAUUACAUUUAACUGUGUUUUUAAACAACCGGUCCCUGUGUAUGAAAACAACCUCAUUUUUGCUUAAGGUGGCUCGAUGAAUCGCGACUGACAAAAAUUAUGCUAUAUGAGCAAACUCGCGUGACCAUUCGUGUCCGCGUGAAUAUUAACGAAAAUACUUACUGUGCAUAGAUGACUAACCCGAAGUUUAAAAUUAGGGCCUGAAUUUCAGGUUAAUAGAUGGCUUGACUUGGCGACUCGUCCGUGUUGCGGAAGCACGUUGCAUGUCAAAGACAUGUAGACCAAAUAACUCAAAAUGCUAAAGCGGUUCUAAACAUUUGGAAACCUUGAACCAGGAUCAAAGUUAUCGGUCAGUGAAAAUCGAAAAGUCGUACCGCCUACACCGACAAAGCAAUAGGCUAUUUUAGAGUAAAUUUUGUACGCUAUAUGUUACCAAAACUGACAUAAUUUGAAAGAAAAAAUAUUAAAAUAGAUGAUCAUCCUGUUAUCUGCUUCAUAAAACCUUAAAAUACGUUUAAAACAGUCAAACGUUUACACACCUGAAGUUUUUGAAAAUUGUACCGAGCCACCUUAAAUGAGUUUAUCGUAGGCAAGGUAGAAUAUCUUUGGAGCAAUCUCAGUAGUAUAUAAAGAGCUAAAUGCGACGUUGUGAGCCAAGGGCUCUUUGGUCGGAGGGUAAAUAAGAUCUAAAAGGACCGCCUUUGGGUAAUCCAAUGAAGGUUACGCGACGAAAGGCCUUUUGCUUGAAACAUCGUAGUUUUCUCCAUGCUUUAAAGAUCUAUACUUUGCCUUCUCUAUAAGAUCUAUACUAUCCAUGCAAUCUACGUCUUGCUUCAAAGUGUGUCUUGAAACAGUACUGUGCUUGAAAUUUGAUACAGUGAAUUCAUCCAAAAUGGUGUCCAUUCCCCUUCCGACGUUUGACGCACCGUUUUCAAGUCCUUUCGAAGAAAAAUUAACAUCAGAUGGCAAGUCGGCAACGGGGAAGAUGACAAUUUUCCCGGGGGUAAAAGUUGAUGGCGUAGCUGGUGGUACGACGACAAUUGGAGGGAUCAGCAGCACAGUCAAGGUAACCAAAGCAAUUUUUCCAGAGUUUGGCUACGGUAAAAGGCCGACGA